UAAGAAAAUGUUGAGAGAACUAUAGUUGAGAGAGCUGGAAAUCUUUCAAUGCAGUGUAUCAAUAACUUUAUUGCCAUUAAAAAUAUACGUAAAUUGGUUGAUCCACAACAAAACUUCCAGCUCCCGACCUUCAGGGCUUCACCCGCGAGUGAGAUGCCAUAUGGCGAUAGAGGUUGUCUCUCCGCGAAAAGGAUGCACUGCAUUAGACGCAGGGAAAGGCACGCUUUCCAGUGUGAGUUUGCAGAUGGUGUGUCAGGCCGGCGUGUUGAGCGAAUGCUUUCGGGCACAAGUGGCACUGGUAGGGGCGCUCUCCUGUGUGGGUGUGCAGAUGAUCUUUCAGGUGCCAUUUCAGAGUGAAUGCCUCCGAGCAGAGGUGGCACUGGUAGGGGCGCUCUCCUGUGUGGCUGCGAAGAUGGCGUGUCAGUUUGGAUUGCCAACUGAAUGUGUCCAGGCACA